UACGGGGGGAGCAAGCGUUGUUCGGAAUCACUGGGCGUAACGGGCGUGUAGGCGGUUCGGUAAGUGAAAUGUGAAAUGCCCCGGCUCACCCGGUGACCUGCAUCUCAAACUGCCGGACUAGAGUAUGGGAGAGGAUGAGGGAAUUCCUGGUGUAGCGGUGAAAUGCGUAGAUAUCAGGAGGAACACCGGUGGCGAAAGCGCUCAUCUAGCCCAAUACUGACGCUGAGGCGCGAAAGCUAGGGGAGCAAACGGG
rnacentral:rRNA from 1 species